CAUAGACCAAGCUGGGUCUGAAUCAAUAAGGAUGUGUCAACAACUAUGAUAUUAGUUUAGGCAAAAUAGAUGGGAGUGGAAGGUAAAUGUCCCCACUCUGCAUGCUUUCUUGACAUACGCCAGCUGACUGAGGGCUGUUCAUCGAAUGAAGCUUAGGGUGUCAGCAUGUCAGGACUGAUACAGUGAUGAGACACUCUCCCUCCGCUCCUUUUCAAUUCUGUUAAAAAUAGCAGAGUAAAUCAAAUCUAUUCCUUUUAUGAAAGCAACACUGCCCUGGGGCCUUCAAGGCUCUUAUUGAGAGAUGAGUUCUCUGCCUCUCUGUGAUAUGAGUACUCGUACUGUUAUUGAAAUGGAACAAUGGCAGGCAUUCUGUGGACAGCUAGUAGCAGCUGUUGAUCAGAGCUCUAUGGCUCAGUAACUUCAAAGGAUGGAGGGGAAAGACUGUUUUUCUACCACUCUGCUGAUAUUGAAGAGUACAGCACGUUUAGAUGGUAAACAAGGGCUCUGGUAUAACCUGAGAGACAGAGAAAGAGAUAAAAAGGGGGAGUAGAAAUUUGGCUCACAUCACACAAUACAUACUUGCCAUCCCACCCAUAAUAAAACUGCCCAUGCAAGAGGUAGAAUGUGCCAACAACCAA